rnacentral:ncRNA from 2 species
CUCACUUUGUCGGGGUGCCCCAUACUUCUCUUGGGGCUGAGAUUAAACCCGUACGACCUGAUCAGGCUAGAACCUGCGUAGGCAACAGCAUAUGAAUACCU